rnacentral:rRNA from 1 species
UACGAAGGGUGCAAGCGUUACUCGGAAUUACUGGGCGUAAAGCGUGCGUAGGUGGUUUGUUAAGUCUGAUGUGAAAUCCCCAGGCUCAACUUGGGAACUGCAUCCGAUACUGGAUGGCUUGAAUUCGGGAGAGGGAUGCAGAAUUCCAGGUGUAGCGGUGAAAUGCGUAGAUAUCUGGAGGAAUACCGGUGGCGAAGGCGGCAUCCUGGACCGACAUUGACGCUGAGGAGCGAAAGCUAGGGGAGCAAACGGG